UCCAGACUCCUACGGGAGGCAGCAGUGGGGAAUAUUGCACAAUGGGGGAAACCCUGAUGCAGCGACGCCGCGUGAGCGAUGAAGUAUUUCGGUAUGUAAAGCUCUAUCAGCAGGGAAGAAGAUGACGGUACCUGACUAAGAAGCCCCGGCUAACUACGUGCCAGCAGCCGCGGUAAUACGUAGGGGGCAAACGUUAUCCGGAUUUACUGGGUGUAAAGGGAGCGUAGACGGCGAUGCAAGCCAGAUGUGAAAGCCCGGGGCUCAACCCCGGGACUGCUCUUGGAACUGCGUGGCUGGAGUGCAGGAGGGGCAGGCGGAAUUCCUGGUGUAGCGGUGAAAUGCGUAGAUAUCAGGAGGAACACCGGUGGCGAAGGCGGCCUGCUGGACUGUAAAUGACGCUGAGGCUCGAAAGCGUGGGGAGCAAACAGGAUUAGAUACCCCCGUA
rnacentral:rRNA from 1 species